CUCGUGACUGCGUGCCUUUUGAAGAAUGAGCCUGCGAGUUUGCGGUGUGUUGCGAGGUUAACCCGUGUGGGGAAGCCGUAGCGAAAGCGAGUCCGAAUAGGGCGAUUUAGUAGCGCGCUCAAGACCCGAAGCGGAGUGAUCUAGCCAUGGGCAGGUUGAAGCGGCUGUAAGAGGUCGUGGAGGACCGAACCCACCAGGGUUGAAAACCUGGGGGAUGACCUGUGGUUAGGGGUGAAAGGCCAAUCAAACUCCGUGAUAGCUGGUUCUCCCCGAAAUGCAUUUAGGUGCAGCGUCGUGUGUUUCUUGCCGGAGGUAGAGCACUGGAUAGGCGAUGGGCCCUACCGGGUUACUGACCUUAGCCAAACUCCGAAUGCCGGUAAGUGAGAGCGCGGCAGUGAGACUGUGGGGGAUAAGCUCCAUGGUCGAGAGGGAAACAGCCCAGAGCAUCGACUAAGGCCCCUAAGCGUACGCUAAGUGGGAAAGGAUGUGGAGUCGCACAGACAACCAGGAGGUUGGCUUAGAAGCAGCCACCCUUGAAAGAGUGCGUAAUAGCUCACUGGUCUAGUGAUUCCGCGCCGACAAUGUAGCGGGGCUCAAGCGUACCGCCGAAGUCGUGUCAUUGCAGCAUGAGGGCCAACGCCCGCUGUGAUGGGUAGGGGAGCGUCGUGUGCCGGGUGAAGCCGCGCCGGAAGGCAGUGGUGGACGGUUCACGAGUGAGAAUGCAGGCAUGAGUAGCGAUACACACGUGAGAAACGUGUGCGCCGAUUGACUAAGGGUUCCUGGGUCAAGCUGAUCUGCCCAGGGUAAGUCGGGACCUAAGGCGAGGCCGACAGGCGUAGUCGAUGGAUAACCGGUUGAUAUUCCGGUACCCGCUGUGAAGCGUCAAACAUCGAACCAGGCGAUGCUAAGUCCGUGAAGCCGCCCCGGAGCCUUCGGGCAAAGGGGAGUGGUGGAGCCGACGAACCAGAUCUGUAGUAGGUGAGUGAUGGGGUGACGCAGGAAGGUAGUCCAUCCCGGGCGGUGGUUGUCCCGGGGUAAGGGUGUAGGACGUCAGGUAGGUAAAUCCGCCUGGCACAUAGUCUGAGACCUGAUGCCGAGCCGAUUGUGGUGAAGUGGAUGAUCCUAUGCUGUCGAGAAAAGCCUCUAGCGAGUUUCAUGGCGGCCCGUACCCUAAACCGACUCAGGUGGUCAGGUAGAGAAUACCGAGGCGUUCGGGUGAACUAUGGUUAAGGAACUCGGCAAAAUGCCCCCGUAACUUCGGGAGAAGGGGGGCCAUCACUGGUGAGGGAACUUGCUUCCUGAGCUGGGGGUGGCCGCAGAGACCAGCGAGAAGCGACUGUUUACUAAAAACACAGGUCCGUGCGAAGCCGUAAGGCGAUGUAUACGGACUGACGCCUGCCCGGUGCUGGAACGUUAAGGGGACCGGUUAGUCACUCUUCGGGGUGGCGAAGCUGAGAACUUAAGCGCCAGUAAACGGCGGUGGUAACUAUAACCAUCCUAAGGUAGCGAAAUUCCUUGUCGGGUAAGUUCCGACCUGCACGAAUGGCGUAACGACUUCUCGACUGUCUCAACCAUAGGCCCGGUGAAAUUGCACUACGAGUAAAGAUGCUCGUUUCGCGCAGCAGGACGGAAAGACCCCGGGACCUUUACUACAGUUUGAUAUUGGUGUUCGGUUCGGCUUGUGUAGGAUAGGUGGGAGACUUUGAAGCGGCAGCGCCAGCUGUUGUGGAGUCGUCGUUGAAAUACCACUCUGGUCGUGCUGGAUGUCUAACCUGGGUCCGUGAUCCGGAUCAGGGACAGUGUCUGAUGGGUAGUUUAACUGGGGCGGUUGCCUCCCAAAGAGUAACGGAGGCGCCCAAAGGUUCCCUCAGCCUGGUUGG
rnacentral:rRNA from 1 species